AUUGAACGCUGGCGGAAUGCUUUACACAUGCAAGUCGAGCGGCAGCGCGGCCUUCGGGCUGGCGGCGAGCGGCGAACGGGUGAGUAAUGCAUCGGAACAUGCCCAGUCGUGGGGGAUAACACUUCGAAAGAAGUGCUAAUACCGCAUACGUCCUGAGGGGGAAAGCGGGGGAUCGCAAGACCUCGCGCGAUUGGAGUGGCCGAUGUCAGAUUAGCUAGUUGGUGAGGUAAAGGCCUACCAAGGCGACGAUCUGUAGCUGGUCUGAGAGGAUGAUCAGCCACGAGGGAACUGAUAGACGGACCGGACCCCGCAGGGAGGCAGCAGUAGGGAAUAUUCAGCAAUGGGCUAAAGUCUGAAGAAGCCAAGCCGCGGGAAUGAUGCAGGUCGUCGGAUAGUAACACUCUGUUAUCAGGGAAGAACAAAAGUGCAAGUAAAUAUGCACGUCUUGACGGUACCUAAUCAGAGAGAAACGGCUAACUCCGUG
rnacentral:rRNA from 1 species